AGACGGGCCGACGGGGAACGCGGACGGCGAGGCGGCGGCCACGGCGGCCACGGCGGCCGGGGACGCCUCGCGGGCCCGGCGCGGGGCGUGAUAGCGGGAGCGGGGCGGGGAAGCGGGUGAUCUGGCCCAGGACGUCCGCGGAGGCGGGGCGGACACCGCAGGGUCAGGGUCCAGGAGGCGGGAGGGAGGGACGGAGGGCGCACGCGCCCUUCCGGCUCCCGGCCCGUUCCCCGGUCCCAUCCCACCGCGGGCCCCCCAGCCCGCGGGCGACACGACCCACCCGCAACACACCUCUCCCGGCUCCGCGUGACCGCCCGCGCCGGAGCACCGCGGGAACGCCCCCGCAGGCGUCACCCGGUGGGUCGCCGCCCGGCAAGGCCGCGCACCUCGGGCCGGCAGAACCCUCUCUCCUCUCCACCUUCCGGCUCGCCCACGCAACCCGUCC